GACGAACGCUGGCGGCGUGCCUAAUACAUGCAAGUCGAACGCAGUGGGGACGGGUGAGUAACACGUGGGUAACCUCCCAUCAGAGGGGAUAACACUUGGAAACAGGUGCUAAACCGAUACUGAUGGAUGGACCCGCGGUGCAUUGGCUAGUUGGUGAGGUAACGGCUCACCAGGGCCACGAUGCAUAGCCGACCUGGAGGGGGGAUCGGCCACAUUGGGACUGAGAGACGGCCCAGAAUCCUACGGGAGGCAGCGGUAGGGACUCUUCGGCAAGGGACGAAAGUCUGACCGAGAAACGCCGCGUGAGUGAAGAGGGUUUUCGGAUCGUAAAACUCUGUUGUUAGAGAAGCGGUAUCUAACCAGAAAGACACGGCUAACUACGUGCCAGCAGCCGCGGUAAUUC
rnacentral:rRNA from 1 species